rnacentral:rRNA from 1 species
CCUACGGGAGGCUGCAGUGAGGAAUAUUGGUCAAUGGCCGGAAGGCUGAACCAGCCAAGCCGCGUGAAGGACGAAGGUUCCAAGCAUUGUAAACUUCUUUUGUCAAGGGACAAAAUCAGGCUCGAGAGCCUGACCGCGGGUACUUGAAGAAAAAGCAUCGGCUAACUCCGUGCCAGCAGCCGCGGUAAUACGGGGGAUGCGAGCGUUAUCCGGAUUUAUUGGGUUUAAAGGGUGCGUAGGCGGACUGUUAAGUCAGCGGUAAAAGCCCGGGGCUCAACCCCGGAGAGCCGUUGAAACUGGCUGGCGUGAGAGUGCGAGAGGUAUGCGGAAGGCGUAGUGUAGCGGUGAAAUGCAUAGAUAUUGCGCAGAACUCCGAUUGCGAAGGCAGCAUACUGGGGGCGAUCUGACGCUGAGGCACGAAAGCGUGGGGAUCGAACAGGAUUAGAUACCCGGGUAGUC